CUGAGGAAGAAGCAGGUGGAAGGCAAUGAGCUUUGUUCCUGCUGAGGAGGCUGGUGUCUGGUUAAUGGAGACAUGGCUCUGCUCCCACAUCGUGCCAGGGGUGAUGAGGUGACAAGGAUGAACUCCUGCUGAUGGCAGCUGGUCCUGCUCUUCUCCAGCUCUGGAUGUGCUGAUGGCUGGUUUCAGUGGCAAGAUGGAUAGAGCCUGGAGGAGGUGCUGGCGUGACCCCCAGCCUGCUGGCCACACCAGCCCUCUGUGCACAGAGAGCGCCGACAAGAGCAGCCUAUGGAGUGUGGGGAAGGCAUGAGGGGAAACUGAGUCGCAACGGCUUUAAGAGGAUGUAACAAGGGCUUCUUCUGAAAUAACAGAUCUUACUGUAACCAAAUAUUGCCAUCCAGGAAAGCCAUUUUGCAACCAGCAAGGAGGCUUCUUCCUUCCCAGCAGCCGCUGAAAAGGCCCUUUGUUCUCAGUGGAACACCUGGAGAGGUUUAUCUGCCGUGGCCUCUGGGGCCAGCACUGAGGAGCUGUGACAGGACCCAGUGGCACUGGAGUUGGUGGCAAGCCAGGUGCUGCUGGCACCCAAAAACCAUCCCAGCUGGGCUAUGGCAUGGGCAGCUUUUGGUUGUCUCUUCCAUGGGGGCCAGGAUGCUGGCCUGGCUUGUGUUUUCUUUCUUUUCCCAUCCUAAAAUGAACCGCUGCAGUCCGAAUUGUCUUUAGACAGCAUUGAGGGGGUGACACCUCUGCAGAGAAUGGAGAACAAGCCUUGGGCCUUUCUGGAGAAAGGGGUAAUGUGAGCAGGGAUAGGCAGACAAAGAGCCCUGCGCACAUGGUUUGGUGCUACACCUGGAAGGGCUGGAGGUGACACUGCUCAGUGGCAUCAUCCUAACCAGUGGCAACUGUCUGAGGUCCAUCUCCAUGUGUGUUCCCUGGUCAUAGACCAUCCCCACGUAAACCAUCAUCACCAGGCAAACCAGCUUCAAAAGCCAAAAGGUUUACAUUCUUUCCCUGCACCUUCUGUGACUCAAAGAAGAAUCUCGAUGAGAAGAAAUCUGCACAGAGAAAACGCAGAGACAGACCUGAUGUGGGGUGAUGUGGAGAGUUGCCACCAUCCAACUGUGUGCUGCUUCUGUGACUGUAUAACCAGUGGCCUCAGGGGGAAUGGGACCUGUGAGCUGUGAGUUAUUAAGCUGGUCCAAGUCUGCUGACCUUCCUCUGCAUGCUGAUUUUCCACUAAAGUCACAGACUGGACAGCCCACAUCAGAAAAAGAAAAGAAAAAAGCAAGAAACUAAAAGUAAGAGACAUCAUUCUUUGCUCCUUGAUCACCCAGACAACAUACCAACCCCUACAAGAGAGUCAUGUUGGGGGAUUUCAGCAAUGCCUCAUCACAGGAUGUGCAGCUCUGUGAAAUAUUGAUCUGAUGAAUAUUGAGAGCAAACUGCAAAGUUUGAGAAAGGACAGACCACAGCUUGAGCUUCAUCAUCUGCAGUGGCGGUCACUGGUUCUCCCAUGCGCAACGGCACCGUUGCCAUUUCUUUGGGACAGGCUGUACUGAAGCUGAUCCACGUGAGAGCUGUUAGCCUGUUCAUGCAGCUCGUAGCUUUCACACCACUUCCAGCCUUGGUCCCUGUCCAGGCACCACCACCAGCUCUCCCAUGACUUUGGGUUUAGGUCUCUUUCUAACAUUCCUCCCUUUCUUCCCCGCUGAGGGAAAACGUCCAGGUUUGUUCUUUUUGACUUUGUGGUAGCGGCCUCAACAGAAGGACAUAGUGCCUAUUGAGUGUCUUUGCAAGGAAAAGGGAGAAACUUCUCAGUUACAUAAAAGUUUGUAUCAAAAUUCAAGAAUCCAGAUUAAUUAUAGUAGACUCGCCUUGUAUCAUUCAAUUUGUUUGAAUAGCUUUAAAGAUUAAGCAGAUCCAAGGCCUAACAGAACCAGAGCCAG
ensembl:lncRNA